UACAUUUCACAUUUGGUAUUCAUUAAUAAUUGUUGGAACCAAAGCUGCUACUGUUACUGUUAAGUUAAUAUAACAGCCGUGCGUUUCGUUUGAAGUCUCGGCUAGCCCGCGGUUAGCCUGCUAGCCGCAGCCAAGUGCCCGUGCCUCAGAUUAAGCUCUUUGCAGGCUAAAUGUCUGCUAGACGGGCUCUGGUAGAGUGUGCUGUGUUGUCUGUGCGAGAUACCUGUGUGUUUUAUCCCUGCUGUAAAGGCUGCCUCUCAAGGAUUGAUGUUGAGCAGCAGGACACGACGAGAUGCAGAUGCUCCAAGUGUGGUUACAGCUGUCUGAGGGAACAGGUUGAGUACAGAUAUCGUCUCUCACUAAAGGUGGCCCGGGACAGAUGCAUAUUUGGAGUAACAGUAUUUGGAACCUGCUUGAACCCAUUCUUUGGCAUUCAUGCAAGUGGACUACAGAGGUUGGUGGAGAACUCAGAUGGAUCACUUGGAACAUCAACCAGAGCCACACUGUUGGCGAAGGCUGUGGAGGACUGUUUCAUUGGCAGACAUUUCAUCUUUGGUGUAAAGGUAAGCAGAACAGAAAGUGGGCUUUGGUUUGGAGGGUCUGUUGCAAAUGGCUCCAGCAGUAAAGACACAGUCCAGUAUAUCGCAAGUCAGAUGAUUCUCCCCAAAGCUGCAGGCCUGGGAGGCUGCACAGUGGUCAGUUAUUAUCGGAUCCUUCUUCAGAAAGCUGCAGAGUAUGAGCUCGGAUCUACUGGUCCCAGCAAACCCUGCAGACCCCCAGAAACAACCCUGCUGCUGAUUCAUCAUCACUCUUUAGCCAGUAGCUUCAGUAAUGCCACACUGUCUGCCUCAGGUCUUCUUUCCCAGUCACUGCAAAGAUCACAGCAUGAAGACUGCACCCUUACUCCGACUCCUCCAUGGCAACAGUCACUAGGACUAGUUACUUCAUCAGCGGAGCAGGAGGAAGGCUACAGUACCCAGGACAAAACACCACAUGUGCAUCAUCAUGUGAGAGGCUGCCUGGAGAACCAUAAAGCCACAGAGGAGAGAACUCUGUUGUCACCUCUUUCUUUAGAGCACAGGACUUACAGUAGUCCAUCAUUUGCCAAAUACCCACACACAUCUAUUGAGAAAGCUGUUGAAAAAAACCCCAUCCUGACCACUUGGUUCAGUCCCACCCAGCCUGGCCACAAAAGGGGUUUAUCACUCAGCUAUAAGGCAAAGAGGUUUUCUACCAGACAACUCGCCAAAACAUUUUUGUCAAGCUCCUUGGCUUGGGAUGAUUUGCCUUUCUCUGAGAGUCUUGCAGAGUUUUUGGGUGAGGAAAACAAAGAUUUUGACAUUGUUAGUGAAACCGAUCCACAUCUAAAAGUGCAAAAUCAGAAAGAAACAGUAAGAAACAACCUGGAAAUCAGAUCACAAGACAUGAACUUGUCAAUUGAGUCAACUUCUUUUUAUCAAAGUAACACAGAUAUAACAGAGAGCCACUCACUGAUGUUACUGGAUAUCACUAAUAAACCUGCACUGAACAAUGGAGGUGAUAAACAUGAUUUAUCUGACCAGGUAUGCAAGAACUCCGUUGGAUGUUUAAACAAAAGUCAAGCCAGAAGCAUUUGUUUCCAUCAGUGUAAUCAGGAGGACGAGGAAGCUAGUUCUCUGUCUUUUGAAAACAAAGAAGAAGAGCAGCUUGAAGGAGAUACCUAUAAUUGUUCAGCAGACCUAUUCGGUAGCUCAGUAAUGAUCGAAAUGAACACAAAGACACUAAGCAUGUAUGCAGAAACCGUCAGGACAACUUCAGAAGCUUGCAUGCUGCUUUCCAGUCCAGACAAACAACACCUGAGGAAUGAAAAGGCUGGUGUCCCACAUUCAACACCAGACAAACAGAAGCUGAAAAGUAAUAAACACAUUAACAGAGACAGUUUAAUUCAACCAGGCACACAAGAUCUUGACUUCAUCCCUCCUGCUCAGUCUACCCCAAUUGUAAAAGCAGCUGUUGUGUCAGGGUCACCUGCCUCCUCAUACUCCCCCUCGACAUUAGGUGAAUUCAGUUCACAACCAGACUGUCAAGAUUUGUGUGCUUUUUACAGUGAUCUGCCAGAAUUGGACAGUAGAAAUCCAGCCAGAAUCACCUCUUCUCAGUGUAGACUGAACACUGUCAGUGCUAACCAGCUGUCCCAGUGUGUCAAAGAGUCUACUAAAGAAAACUUGGUGUGGGGCAUGACAUCCAGCAGACACGACCACAGACUUACCCCAAAAAAGAGGUUCUGGGAAUCAAACAAGCAUAAAGAUCAUAUGUUUCAGCAGCACCUGACGGCAAAGAGGGGGGAUCUAAACCUGGGGUCAACAUUAAUGAUUACCAACAAAUGUGACUCAAGUGUUUGUGAUGUGACUGUGUGUGAGUAUAAGGACAAUGAAGUAAUUGUUCCACCUACUCCUGCUGCUAAAACACGACUGAAUGUGAAGUUCAGAAGAAGAAGGCAGACUGAUAAGAGCAGUGGUGAUUUGGAAUCUACUUGGAAAGCGCAGCAGGGGGAUGGAGUUAAUUGUAAAAGAACUCUGUUGGAUCAAACUUUCACAUCAUCACAAAGAGGUCUGAUACAAACAGGAAAUUGUGACAGUGAGAUAGUUGAUGAGGGGAGUCUGGAUGGAUCCAGUGGUUACCUCCUUGACGAUGAGAACCAGGCAUGUGAUUGGUCUAGAGAUCUUUUCUCUAACUCGGUCUGAGAGGUUCUGUUGCAGAUGGACUUUACUAAUUGAUCCAAUAAUGCAAAAGUUAUUUAAUGUACUUCAGGCCAGCAACCCAGUUAUGAGAGACCUUUUCCACUGAAAGAGUAGUACUACUGCGAUCACUCGUACUGUUACUGGUACUCAAAAUCUUUGCAGAGGGAUAUAAGAAUAGAGCAAAUAUAUUAAAAACUAAAAAUGGGGGCUGUUGAAAGGCACUACAGGAGAAGCCUUAACUUGACCCGCCCUCUGCUAUAUGCACUGUAUCUGUAAACAUACAAAGACACCUCUUCUGAUUUGUGGGUUCAGCUGCCUCAUGCACACCCGUUGCUAAAAAGUGCAUAAAAUCAAGCACCAAGCCAUGUAAUCGCCUUUGACAUUUGCAGUGGAAUGGGUUAUAGUGAAGAUUUCAGUGCCCAACUUCAACUAAGUCUUUUGGAAAGCCUUCCCAGAACAGUGAAUGCUCCUAUAGGAGCAAAGGUGGGGGCAACUCCUUAUUAAUGCCCAUGAUUUUGGAAUGAGAUAUUCAACAUUCAAUAUAGUUUUAAUGUGUGGAUGUCUACAUACUUUUAGAGAUUAAUUUUAAAGGAAGAAUCUCCUUCACAGAGUUAACUUUAAAACAAUUAAGGCUUUUAUUGGUAACGUCUCAGUAACUGAAAUGUGGAUCAGAUGAACUUUUAAACAUUGAGGUGUAAUUUUUACCUUGUCUGAGGUAUUUGGACCAUACCGUGUGACACAUUAGUAACUCUGUUCUGAGCUGCUGUCUGCUGCUGUACCUCACUGCUCCACCCUCAUAGCUGGCUUCAUUGACUCAUAACAUGGUGUGUGCUCUGUUGCUUUUACAACUUUCUGAAUGCUAUUAAAGUGAAGAGACAGUAAAAGGAUAAUAUAUAUAUAUAUAUGAUUGGGUGGGUAUCUGAUAAAUUUACUGCCUUAGAACCACUGGAAUUUAAAUAGUUAAAUUCUUGACAAAGACUUUCUUUCUGAAUUACCCUUUUUAAUAUAUAACAUUAUAACCUUUUUAAAUAUAAGUUAAUAGGAAGGAAUAUGUUACGGAACAAAGGCCCCAGCUGGAACUGAACCAUGGAUUUUUAAAUGUCUGUUUACAGUAUGCAUCCUAUCCCCAAGGCCAGCAAGACACACUAUCACUCUUGAAUGCUCUCCAGUCUAAUUUGACUCACUCUACUCCCUGGUACUUCUGUUGGCAGCAAAGUCCUUAAGCUGACUUUCUGUUCUGCUGCUACUGUGUGUGUGUUUUUGCAGGGGUGUUAAUGUAGGGAUCAGUGUGUGCAGUGCCAUGCCAGAGAGCUAAGAAUAGCAGCCACCAAAUUCUAUGACUCCAAUGUUCUUGAUAUGUGAGUAAAAAAAAAUGGGACAAGAGGUAAACAGCUGGAUCUCUGUGCUGUAUAUGUUACAGAGGCAGGGCCGGUAUGUAGUCAACUGGGCAUGGCGUGAUGUGUGUGUCUGUUUUCCUGUAUGUAUGUUACGAUAUCUUUUUUUUAUCUGAAGUGCCGUGUGUUGCUUUUUUUUAGUAGAGGAACUCAGACUGUGGAUCUUGGAGUAACCCUCAGCAGUGAAAGACAGCCAUCCCUGAGGUGAUACAAGGAAAGCUGUAAAGAAAAGAACAAGACGCAUUCGUACAAAACAAGUUACAUGCUUUUGUGGUGUGUUGUUGCAGUGCUUCUUCUGCCAGAGAGAUUAGAUUAUGUUGAAUCCACCUUGUGUGUGGAAAAAAUAUCUGUGCUGAAUGGUAGUCCAGAACAUUAGCUAUGGGAGAACUCAGAAGCUCAACAAAAGUGUCCCUGUGGUGGCUGUUUUAGUGCUAUGUCCCAUUGGCAGUGCAUUCGUUCUGAUGUUGUCUGUGUGUGUGUGUGUGUGUGUGUGUGUGUGUGUGUGUGUGCGUGCCAGAGAAUUUUGGCAUCAGUUGUUUCAAUAAUAAAAAUAGCAAAUAUAACCUUGAGUGUUAGUACGUAUAACCACAAAUGUCAUUUUCAUGCACUUUGGAAUACCAAGUGCAAAUAUAUAAAAUCCCAAUGGGCAUUUGGGCAUUUUAAGAUUUGAGUGUAAAGUCUGGCCUGAUAGUGGCGCUAAAAGAAAAUACCCACACAUCUGAAGAAAUACCCUUUUGUUUGACCCAGUUAUAAAGCAGAUUUCCAGCAUUAGCCACUUUUUCUGACUCUUUCUUAUUUGGUCUUGCUAAUUUCACUGUGUUCACUACCUAUUUGGACUACCUCAACUUUUAACUGAUUCAGCAACCAUGUCAGUUCUAAAAUGCUGUGUU